AACGAACGCUGGCGGCAGGCUUAACACAUGCAAGUCGAACGCAUCCUUCGGGGUGAGUGGCAGACGGGUGAGUAACGCGUGGGAACGUGCCCUUCAGUUCGGGAUAACCCAGGGAAACUUGGGCCAAUACCGGAUACGUGCGAGAGCAGAAAGAUUUAUCGCUGAAGGAUCGGCCCGCGUCUGAUUGGCUAGUUGGUGGGGUAAUGGCCCACCAAGGCGACGAUCAGUAGCUGGUCUGAGAGGAUGAUCAGCCACAUUGGGACUGAGACACGGCCCAAACUCCUACGGGAGGCAGCGGUGGGGAAUAUUGGACAAUGGGCGCAAGCCUGAUCCAGCCAUGCCGCGUGAGUGAUGAAGGCCUUAGGGUUGUAAAGCUCUUUCGUCCGGGACGAUAAUGACGGUACCGGAAGAAGAAGCCCCGGCUAACUUCGUGCCAGCAGCCGCAGUAA
rnacentral:rRNA from 1 species